GCGCGGAGCGGGCGCUGAGCUGCUCCAUGGAGCUUCCAGCCCUGCUGGAGCCGGCGGGCGCGGCACAGGCAGUACCGGGCGUGCGGUGGCAUUGCUCGGUGCCUGGCGGCAUUUGCCAUCGCCAGGGAGAAACUGAGCCCAGCCGGCAGCGCCGGCCCAUCCUCACCGCUCUAUUUCAAUUGCUUCAUGGAUUAAACCAAGGGGAAACUCCCUCUUGUCCGCAGUUCAAAGUCUUGAAUCAAGGGGAGAACGGAGGUUCCCCCUCAAUUUAGAUCCCUAAAUGAUGCAUAAGGAGGGUCUCCCCUCAGUUUAACCCCAAAUACAAACAGCGCCAUAAAGGUAUUCUACGUCCAUUUAAACAUGAAAAUCAAGGAAAGCAGUAAUUGCCUGCCAAGGCAGGCACGAAAAUGAUGAAAAAGGUGUCUUUUCCUUCAACUGAGACCCUUCAAAUCACAUGUGAAUGGGAAUCCUCCCCAGUUCAAACACAAUUACAGAAAAGCUUUUUGCCCCCUUUUGGGGGGCACUGGGGAGGGACUGGGGGCACUUCCUCCUUCUCACUGGCCGCCCCUGGGGCUGCUGCACCUUGCAGAGUGCUGAGGAGUUCCCUCCCAGUUCCCUGCCAGUAUCCCUCUUCCUGGCAAGCCCUGGGAGGGAUGGGGAGAGCACUGGGCAGGAGCUGGGAACACUGUUCCUUCCCAGGGCUCCUGAUAUCCCUCCCAGUGCUCCUGAUAUCCCUCCCAGUGCUCCUUCUUAGUCAUUCCCGCUGCUUCCACUCUCCCUCCCAGUUCCCUCCCAGUGUUCCCAGGAUCUCUUCCAGUGCUCCCAGCGGCAAAGCCCUUGGGGGCACGUCUUGGUUUGCUCUUGAAGAGGCAAGACUUGAGCUGUCAGGAGAGAAAGCCCGGCUGGAAAAGCAUUCCCUGCAGAGGAAGGUGUCUCCCCUCCCUGACCACAGAGGGAGCUCAGUCUCCGCUGUUGACUCCAAACCGCUCAAGCUCCGAGUCCGACUGCCCGAAACUGGCUCGGCCCCACUUCCCAGCGCCCUGCUCAGAGCUCACACGGCUGAGGGGGCGGUGCAGAUUAAAUCAUUAAUGCUCCUGGGCACUGCUUUAGCUCUGACCUACACACUGGCACACAGGAACAAAACCCCUAACGAGGAUGGGUUCCUCUUGCUGGCACAAGAAGAGAAGGAGAAAUCUGACAGGAAUAUUCUUCAUCAUUCUGCCCAGGCUUGGCCAAACACUCCAGCUCCUGCACCUCGGGAAAUAACAAGUGGCUUCUAAGAAGUGACUUUGAUGUCAGUGAGCAGGUGAUUAUGGAUUAAUCCCACACUGGAAAGCAGUCUUCACACCCUACUGCUCUUUGCAUCACCCAGAGAAUUGGAGGCUGCUGUCUGGCCAGCUCCUGAGUUGUAUCUUCCUUGUCAAUCUUAUUGAUUAAUUGUUUAAUUGUAAAAAUUGUAAAAACAUAAAUAAAAUGCAGGGAGCAUUGGCCCAGGGUCUCAGAACUCGCAUAUCUCUUCGAAAGAAAGGGGGAAAAGAGUGUUUCUCCCAAACCACAGAGUUUCAAAGUUCAUGUUAUCUACAUAUAUUUUUGAAAGGAGAAGAGGAAGAGGAAAAUAUCAAUUACUGUGCCAGUGGUGCUCCAGCCUAUUUCUGUUAUCUUCUUUCACUUGUAGCAUCUCUAAGAAUACUUUAAAAAAAAAUUGAAUUUAAACUGAAGGAGAAGGAAUCUGGCUGCAGGCUUCUAUUCGUGACAUCCAGCGGCGGUGGCGGAGCUCGGAGGCGGCUCCAGCCCAGGGUGCCAUCAGCGCGGGUGUAAAGCUGUUCCCGAGGCCGAUCUCUGAAAGGAUCUGCCGGCACUCCUGAUGUCUCGGGAGCAAGGCGCUGUUUGCUCCAGGCAGAGAGAUGCAGGCUGUGAGCUGGAGGAGAGUGAACUCUGCUCCAUUCAUGGUGCUGUGAAGGAGCACCUGCCUAUCCAGGAGGGACCAGCAGCCGGGGUUGCACACUUGCCUGCUGCGCAGGAAGCCACUCGGCAUAAGCAGGGGGAUGCCAAAUGUGAGCGUGCAGUGAGUGAAGAUGUGGAGAAUGGAUCCUGUACCAGUGGUGAGAGUGUGGGGGAGCCCUUGGAACCCCAGGAGGGACCAGCAGCCAGGGUUACACUCUUACCUGAGGCACAAGAAGCCACUUGGUAUCACCGACAUGUUUUAUGAAAAAUCCUUUCCUUAGGAUUUUUCCCCUCCUGAGAAACUGAGAGGCCUCAGGAACAAACUGUAAACAAUUCUUAUCUGCUGCUGUGGAAUGCAACAGGGGGAAUCUGUGAUUGGCCUCAUCAGGCUGUUUCCAAUUAAGAGCCAAUCACAGUUCACCUGUCCGGCCGGUCUCGGUCUGAGAGAAGACCUUUGUUAUUCAUUCCUUUUCUAUUCUUAGCUUAGCCUUGUAGUGAAAUCCUUUCCUCUAUUCUUUUAGUAUAGUUUUAAUAUAUUAUCUAUCAUAUAAUAAUAAAUCAAGCUUCUGAUACAUGGAGUCAACUUUCUCGUCUCUUCCCUCAUCUUCGAACCCCUGUGAACAAGACCACAACUUGGCAUAAGCAGGGGGAUGCCACUUGGGCAAUUGCAGUGAGUGAAGAUGUGAAGGAUGAAGCCUGCACCAGUGAUGGGAGUGUGAGGGAGCCCCUGGGUCCCCAGGGCACAUCAGCAACCGGCAAUGAACACAAAAGGGACCUGAGAAGAUUCCAGGGUGAAUGGUUCAGGUCCCAUCCCGUGGGCAUGGCGGUGCUGAUUCUGCUGCUCCUGCUGCUGGUGCUGGCUUUGGGGGUGGCCUUGGCUGUGCAGGCAGGUACACCUGCGACUCCGCUGUUGGUUCUGCGCUGUCCCCCUGGCUGGGUUGGGUUCAAUGGGGUCUGCUACUACUUCUCACGGGAUUAUGGCACUUGGGAGCAGGGUCAGGACUGGUGCUCUGAGCUCGGGGCUUCGCUGGCUGUUCCCAAGGAUGAGGACAUGGAUUUGGAAUGGCAAUUACUGGCUUGGGAUGCGCCAACGAGCUGAGAGUCUGCUGUGGGGGGGCAGCAGCAGCGACAGCUACAGCAACAGCUACUCGGCUGCUAUCACUGACACUUUCGAGUGUAUCUACUUGGCUUCCAAGAGCUUCUUCCGUGAUUCCUGCUCAGAUCAUCGGCUGCAUCUCUGCAGCAAGGCCUAAGCUCCCCUGUAACAAGGGCUGCAGAAAGGACCUUCUCCACACUGGGCAGUGCCAGCUUCACC